rnacentral:rRNA from 1 species
CCCUUAGAUGUUCUGGGCCGCACGCGCGCUACACUGAUGCAUUCAACGAGUCUAAAACCUGCUCUGAUAGGGGUGGGUAAUCUUUUGAAUGUGCAUCGUGAUUGGGAUAGAUGAUUGCAAUUUUUCAUCUUCAACGAGGAAUGCCUAGUAAACGCAAGUCAUCAGCUUGCAUUGAUUACGUCCCUGCCCUUUGUACACACCGCCCGUCGCUCCUACCGAUUGAAUGAUCCGAUGAAUAUCAUGGAUUGAGGAUGUAAGCAGGUUCGCCUGUCUUCAUCUUCGAGAGGUGAAGUAAAUCUUAUCAUUUAGAGGAAGGAGAAGUCGUAACA